AAGAAAGUAAAUAAGGGCGUAUGGCGGAUGCCUAGGCUCAUCCAGGCGAUGAAGGACGUGAUAAGCUGCGAUAAUCCGCGGGUAGGUGCAAAUGACCCUUGAUCCGCGGGUCUCCGAAUGGGACAACCCGGGUAUCUGAAGGAUACCCAUCCGUAUUUUUGCGGAAGCUAACGGAGGGAACUGAAACAUCUUAGUACCUCCAGGAAGAGAAAAUAAUUUAAUGAUUCCCCCAGUAGCGGCGAGCGACCGGGGAAGAGCCCAAACCGUUCGUGUCCUUCGGGCAUGUGCGGGGUUGUAGGACCGCGUCAUUGCACGCCAUGCAGAGAGGAGAGCCUUCUGGAAAGAAGGACCACAGAGGGUGAUAGUCCCGUAUCCGAACCUGCAUGCGGCAUAGCGGUAUCCUGAGUAGCGCGGGGCACGAGAAAUCCUGCGUGAAUCUGCCGGGACCAUCCGGCAAGGCUAAAUACUCGGAUGAGACCGAUAGUGUACCAGUACCGUGAGGGAAAGGUGAAAAGCACUUCGACAAGAAGGGUGAAAUAGUUCCUGAAACCAUACGCCUACAAGCGGUCGGAGCACCAUUUUGGUGUGACGGCGUGCCUUUUGCAUAAUGAACCUACGAGUUGCCAUCACCGGCGAGGCUAAGCCACAUGAGUGGCGCACCCGCAGUGAAAGCGAGCCUGAACAGGGCGUUUUAGUCGGUGGGGGCAGACGCGAAACCAAGUGAUCUACACAUGUCCAGGCUGAAGUCCGGGUAACACCUGAUGGAGGGCCGCACCAGUAAGCGUUGAAAAGCUUUUGGAUGAGGUGUGUGUAGGAGUGAAAGGCCAAUCAAACUUGGAGAUAGCUCGUACUCCCCGAAAGGCAUUUAGGUGCCGCGUGUGGCGAUCCGCAUGAGAGGUAGAGCGACCGAUAGGUCGAGAGGGCUUCACCGCCUAUCAAGACCUGACGAACUCCGAAUGCUCAUGCGCUGCAGCCAUGCAGUAAGGGUGCGGGUGCUAAGGCCCGUACCCGAGAGGAGAAGAAUCCGGACCGCCGUCUAAGGUCCCCGAGUUCUGCCUGAGUUAGUCUAACGAAGUGCGGUCCCCGUGACAGCCAGGAUGUUGGCUUGGAAGCAGCCAUUCAUUCAAAGAGUGCGUAACAGCUCACUGGUCGAGGGUCCGUGCGUGGAUAAUAAUCGGGUAUAAGGCAGACACCGAAGGCGCGGGAUAGUAAUGUAUAUUAAAAGUAUCGGUAGGGGAGCAUUCCAUGUACGCAGAAUGCGGGGAGACGAUUCCUGCUGGAGUGUAUGGAAAAGCAAAUGUAGGUAUAAGUAACGAUUAGGGGGAUGAGAACUCCCCCCGCCGAAAGUCUAAGGUUUCCCGGGCAAUGCCAGUCAUCCCGGGGUUAGUCGGGUCCUAAGCCUCAUCCUAAUGGAGAGGGCGAUGGCAGAAACGGUUAACAUUCCGUUACUGCCGGCAGGAGCGAUGUGGAGACGGAGCAGUGACACGGCCGCGGGGCGACGGAAGUCCCCGUUGAAUGGUGUAGGCGUAGACCGGGGCAGGCAAAUCCACCCUGGGAGCCGAACCUGAUAGUAUGGCUCUCCCCUCGGGGAGCGCCAAUAGUGCCGGUAAUCAAGCUUCCAAGAAAAUCCGCUAAGCUUCAUCCUGUCGGCACCCGUACCGCAAACCGACACAGGUAGACGGGUUGAAUAUACUCAGGCGUUGAGAGAUUCAUGGUUAAGGAACUAGGCAAACUGACCCUGUAACUUCGGGAUAAAGGGUCCUCGUUAUGAUGACGAGGCGCAGAGAAUAGGUCCAGGCAACUGUUUAACAAAAACACAGGGCUGUGCGAACACGAAAGUAGAAGUAUACAGCCUGACACCUGCCCGGUGCCGGAAGGUUAAGAGGAGACGUCAUCCCAUUUAUGGGUGCCGCGUUGAAUUGAAGCCCCGGUAAACGGCGGCCGUAACUAUAACGGUCCUAAGGUAGCGAAAUUCCUUGUCGGGUAAGUUCCGACCUGCACGAAUGGUGUAAUGAUCCGGACGCUGUCUCAAUCAUGAUCUCAGUGAAAUUGUAGUAUCGGUGAAGAUGCCGAUUACCCGCGAUGGGACGAAAAGACCCCGUGAACCUUUACUAUAGCUUAGCAUUGAGCCCGGUCAUCCGAUGUGUAGGAUAGGCCGGAGGCUUUGAAUCUCCCGCGCCAGCGGGAGUGGAGCCCCCCUUGAAAUACGGCCCUUCGGCUGUCUGGGUUCUAACGCGCAAGAUGUGCGGACACUGCUUGGCGGGUAGUUUGACUGGGGUGGUCGCCUCCAAAAGCGUAACGGAGGCUUCCAAAGGUGCCCUCCGGCCGAUUGGUAACCGGCCUUAUAGAGUGCAAUGGCAUAAGGGCGCUUGACUGGGAGGCAGACAUGCCGAUCAGGCAGGAAACUGGGGCAUAGUGAUCCGGUGCAUGCGUAUGGAAGCUGCAUCGCUCAAAGGAUAAAAGGUACUCCGGGGAUAACAGGCUGAUCCCCCCCAAGAGCUCAUAUCGACGGGGUGGUUUGGCACCUCGAUGUCGGCUCGUCACAUCCUGGGGCUGGAGAAGGUCCCAAGGGUUGGGCUGUUCGCCCAUUAAAGUGGCACGCGAGCUGGGUUCAGAACGUCGUGAGACAGUUCGGUCUCUAUCUAUCGUGGGCGCAGGAGUUUUGCGUGGUGCCGUCACUAGUACGAGAGGACCGUGACGGACAGACCUCCGGUCUGCCGGUUGUGCCGCCAGGUGCACCGCCGGGUAUCCGCGUCUGGCCAGGAUAAGCGCUGAAAGCAUCUAAGCGCGAAGCCAUCCGCAAGAUGAGAACUCCAUU
rfam:Prevotella bergensis DSM 17361 genomic scaffold SCAFFOLD6, whole genome shotgun sequence.